GAUGAACGCUAGCGGCAGGCCUAAUACAUGCAAGUCGAGGGGUAGAGAGAGCUUGCUUUCUUGAGACCGGCGCACGGGUGCGUAACGCGUAUGCAACCUACCUUUAUCUGGGGGAUAGCCCGGAGAAAUCCGGAUUAAUACCGCAUAAAAUCACAGGAUGGCAUUAUCCAAUGAUCAAACAUUUAUGGGAUACAGAUGGGCAUGCGUGUCAUUAGCUAGUUGGCGGGGUAACGGCCAACCAAGGCGACGAUGACUAGGGGAUCUGAGAGGAUGGCCCCCCACACUGGUACUGAGACACGGACCAGACUCCUACGGGAGGCAGCAGUAAGGAAUAUUGGUCAAUGGAGGCAACUCUGAACCAGCCAUGCCGCGUGCAGGAAGACUGCCCUAUGGGUUGUAAACUGCUUUUAUCCGGGAAUAAACCUGCUUACGUGUAAGUAGCUGAAUGUACCGGAAGAAUAAGGAUCGGCUAACUCCGUGCCAGCCGCCGCAGUAA
rnacentral:rRNA from 1 species